rnacentral:rRNA from 1 species
AUUGAACGCUGGCGGCAGGCCUAACACAUGCAAGUCGAACGAGUAGCGGACGGGUGAGUAAUGUCUGGGAAACUGCCUGAUGGAGGGGGAUAACUACUGGAAACGGUAGCUAAUACCGCAUCCCAUCGGAUGUGCCCAGAUGGGAUUAGCUAGUAGGUGGGGGAAAGGCUCACCUAGGCGACGAUCCCUAGCUGGUCUGAGAGGAUGACCAGGGCGACUGGAACUGAGACACGGUCCAGACUCCUGCGAGUGGAAGCAGUGGGGAAUAUUGCACAAUGGGGUCAAGCCUGAGUCAGCCAUGCCGCGUGUAUGAAGAAGGCCUUCGGGUUGGAAAGUACUUUCAGCGGGGAGGCGUUACCCGCAGAAGAAGCACCGGCUAACUCCGUGCCAGCAGCCGCGGUAAUUC